UGAAUGGACGAGCAAGAAAGAGCGAGCAGGUCCAUUGAUUAGAGGAUGCCUCUGUGGGUCCACCCGAUGAUAAGAACCAGCCAGUGAAGUCCUCCUGCUCUGAGUGAAUCAGCACUCGUCCCGGUCGAUCAGGGUCUGAAUCCCCACAGAGCAGGGUUACUGAAAGAGCCUACAACUACCAACAACACAGGACAUGCUGCAAUUGUUUCCAAAAGAAACAUAGAUGUUUGUUUCU